UGGGGAAUAUUGGACAAUGGGCGCAAGCCUGAUCCAGCAAUACCGCGUGUGUGAAGAAGGCCCUAGGGUUGUAAAGCACUUUCAAUGGGGAGGAAAACCUGCCGGCCAAUACCCGGUAGCUUGACAUUACCUAUAGAAGAAGCACCGGCUAACUCCGUGCCAGCAGCCGCGGUAAUACGGAGGGUGCGAGCGUUAAUCGGAAUUACUGGGCGUAAAGCGUGCGUAGGCGGUUCGUUAAGUCAGAUGUGAAAGCCCCGGGCUCAACCUGGGAACUGCAUUUGAAACUGGCGAACUAGAGUUGAGUAGAGGGGAGUGGAAUUUCAGGUGUAGCGGUGAAAUGCGUAGAUAUCUGAAGGAACACCAGUGGCGAAGGCGACUCCCUGGA
rnacentral:rRNA from 1 species